rfam:Plasmodium cynomolgi strain B DNA, chromosome 6.
UAACUGGCUUUUGGCUGCCAAGCGCUCCUAACGACGUAGUUUUUUGAUCCUUCGAUGUUGGCUCUUUCCAUCAUUGGGACGCAGAAGUCUGAAAGUAUCGGAUUGUUCACCUGCUAAAAGGGAACAUGAGCUGGGUUUAGACCGUCGUGAGACAAGUU